GAUAAAUGAUCAAAUCUCUCUGCCAAAGCUCUGUAACUCCGGAAAAAAUCUUCCACGAAGUUCAGAAGCUCAGGCCUCCUCCUGUAGUACAUCUCAGCGCGCUUUGCAAAGGAUUCUCCAUCCUCGUCUAUGAUCUUGAUUUGAAACUCAGUGGAUAAUGGUCUAAUGAUACCGCAGUUUGAAACUCAGGGGAUAAUGAUCUAAUGAUGCGCGGUUUGAAACUCAGUGGAUAAUGGUCUAAUGAUGCGCGAUUUGAAACUCAGUGGAUAAUGGUCCUCCCCUCUACUUACAAGACAACAGAAGGAACAAACAAAUCUCAUCUGUGAUUUAUACUGUUAUAGUGAUCCAAGAAAGUUCCUUUAACAUCAUUCUUUUUUCUACUUCCAAUGCCUUUUUAAGACAAAUAUUACCUCCGUUUCAGUUUCAGUUUAUUUGUCUUA